rnacentral:rRNA from 1 species
GCAAGUCGAGCGCAUCCUUCGGGAUGAGCGGCGGACGGGUUAGUAACGCGUGGGAAUAUACCCAGAUCUAAGGAAUAGCCUCGGGAAACUGAGAGUAAUACCUUAUACGCCCUUCGGGGGAAAGAUUUAUCGGAUUUGGAUUAGCCCGCGUUAGAUUAGAUAGUUGGUGGGGUAAUGGCCUACCAAGCCUACGAUCUAUAGCUGGUUUGAGAGGAUGAUC